UUUUAGCCCUGAUAGCAGUGAAAAUCCUUUCUUUUUUAUCGAAAAAGAAAGAUUGCAACGGAUAGCAGGAAAAUGG
rnacentral:sRNA from 1 species